GUUUCUGAUGUUGCUGCCAAAGGCAGUCAGAUCAUUUGACUCUAUCUACUAUGCUGCAUUUGAGAUUUUGUCAAUGCCAUUGAAUACAAAGGUGAAGGCAAGAGCCCAUAAAUAUGGCUGCACCAAAAAGAUAACAAUGCGGGAAGCUGGAAUCUAGAGGAACCACAAUAACUUUGAUCUCUAGCUGUGAGGAAGAACAUGCCUGCUUCCCGAGUGACCAUCCUCCCAGCACCAUGAUAUCUAUGAGAUCAAGGGCUCCAGAGAUUACAGAGACAGCAUUUGG
rnacentral:lncRNA from 1 species